GGGAGGGAGGGGAGUCUUUGCUUCUGGUCCCCCUCGCCUUCCUCCCCCCGCACUGUGCCAGUUUAACCCGCAGAGGGGCGGAGGCAUGGGUCCCUUCCAGACUUUGUCAUUGGAAAGCUAUUCCCGUAACCCUUUCCUGCCUUUGCCUUCCCGUCCCGCCUCCCCGGCCGCAGAAAGGCGGCUGCUUGGUGGCUGGGCUGGGGCCGAGAGCUGGCAGGGCAGGAAGCCUUUGCACAAUUGAGCCUUUCCUUUGCCCGGGGACCCGUCACCCCCACCCACGUCCCGGGGCUGCUGCUGGUUCGGGCAUUCUUUGGAAGGGGGCAGAUGGAUCCGCCAGCCUCCUCGCCCCGCUUCUGACUCCGCCCACCCUUCUUCCCUACUCGGGUCUGAGCUGGGACUCGUGGGAGCAGAGGAGGGGGAGGCCCCAGAAGUGCCGGGCAAAUAGUAGGUGCUCAGUAAAGUAACGUGACUUCUUCCCACUUUCCCGACCCUACCACUGCCUCUCCUCCUUCUAGGGCCGUGGGAGUGGGAGGAGGGGGCAGAAGACGGGAGAGGAAACCACAAGAGCUGAAGACCGAGAAUGGAAAGGAGGUUGUCAGCCAGAACCUCGUGCAACCUCUCUGCAGUGCAAGGAUUCCACGCCCCCCCAUCCCUCCUACCCCCACGCCCGCCUCCUGGCCUGAGGGCUUCCAGACUGUGCAGGAAGAGUCCAGAAGGAAAUCAGGUGGCCGAUGCCCCUGGAGCAAGCUUUGAGCUCUGUCUUGAGGGGUUGAGAUUAAAAAGAAAAAAAAAAAAAUGCCAACUCCCUGGGAGGUCUCCGAAUGCUUCACCAGCAGUAUGAACCAGUGGGGAGCAGAGUCACGAAAUGAUCCUGACAACACACACCCGGCGUGUUUGGGGGAGGAUUUGAUGACGUGAUACAGGUAAAGCAUUGGACCCAGUGCCUGGCACAGACCCAGAGCUCCAGAAUGUUCCCCCUUCAAUUGAGUCUGUGGUUUGAGGAACUACAGUGGCAAGAAAUCAUUUGCAUAUAUAAAGAGCCAUUCUUUCAAGCACUUCCCUCCCAGUUCUCCGGGAGAGCCACUAGGAGCCGGGAUUCUGAGCUCCAGCCUGCAGAGGCCUUAGCUGAGCCAACCGGGAAGGGAGAGGAGCUUGGCUCCAGCCAAAGGACUGGGCAGCAAGACAGAGGAGGAGGACUCAAGGCUUUGACUCUCAAGCUGCCGCCAACGAGGCUAACUCUGGGGCAAACUGGCAAGGGGUCCUACUUUGGGAUCUCUAGGAAAGAAGUGGUCUGUGAAUGCUUAUCCCAGUUUUCCCGCAUUUCUCUCCCUCCCUGGCCCUUUCUGCACAUCCCCCUCAGCUUUGGGGAGUGUGGGAAUGAUUGACGAACUCUGCUGCGGCACCCCUCCUCCCGCCAUGGGUACAGAUGUGCUGGGCAGCAGCUGUACCCUGCAACCUACACCUGUCGCCUAGAUCAGCUGUUGUAACUCUACUCCUGGGAAAGCAGGCCAGGUGCCCCGGCUUGCAGAAGUCCUCCUUUUGGCAGGUGGAAAGUCACAGCCUCUGCCUAUCACAGCAGCUAGCUCUCGGAGCCUACUUGGAAGAUGCCAGGGCCCUGGGAAUCUCAGCUACAGACCGGAACCCCUUCCAGUCCAGAGCUGCUUCCAGCUGUAUCCCUAUCCCAUAGCCCCUGGCUGGUUCUCGGACUACUCCCACCGGUACCACAUCGGGGUGUGGGAGACAGAGGAGGAAGGGGAGAGACCGACACCUCCAAGGGGACCCAUCCCUCUAGCUCUCCUGGAAGCUGGGCAGCACUGUGGACCAGAGAAAUCAAAGAGAACUAGAGCUGGGGAGAAGACUGGCAGUGGGGCCAAGGAGGAAGAAGGGUCUGGAAACGAGAGCAGAACUUGCUCUUGUGUGGCUUGGGCCACGGAGACAUUCGUUCCGGAGCCUGCAGCCCUGGAAGAUUUCCAUUCCACACUGAGCAUGCGUGGAGGCGUAGAUUGGGCAGGCACCGUGGGAGCGAGGCGCAGAGGCUGGUCCAAGCCGUGGGAGAGCGAAGCGACUCGCCCGCCCGAAGCGCCUGGGUGCGGAGCGAAUCCAGAAAUCCCAGGGAGCUGAGAAAAUUUCAACAAAGCAAGCCCAAGGCACACAUCCUCCGACACCCAGCCGCACAAUGCAUGGCACAUGCCAAUACACAUAAAAGCCUGGUGGAAACCAGAUGGUGACUUGGCGGCAGAUGGCUGGAUGUGUGUGUACGCCCACACCUGCUUCGGUCUUUGAAUGAACGUACCUUCCAUUUCCCCCUACUACUCCAACACUCAGGGAAAGGACUUGACUGGCGAUGCUCAGAGGGAUGCCAAGGCCUUACCAGGAAGGUAUUCUCCAGUUCCCCAUCAACUCUGGCGGUGCCUAGAGAAACAGCCCAUGUGGCAAGCGGCUCCAGGCCAGAUGUGAGGCACGGCUGACCCCUGCUGGCAGAUUUCUCUCUGCAGCAACCGGGGAAAGCCCCAGGGAGAGAGAAUGGAGUAUUGGAAAAAGCUUGCAAUCCGUCUGGGAUGGGUAGGGCACAGAGUCUCUUCAUCUGGAGGAUGAGACCCAAAAAAAUUAGAGUAAAACCCAGACAGAGUUUCUGGGAGGAGUGAGACAGACUAGUGCGUCCUUUCAGCCCCUCUGACUUGGAAAAACUCCCUGCUGCCGAUCCCUGCAAACCUAAAUUGGGAAUUAGCAACACUCCAUUAGCCAAAUUCAACCACUCACCACCAAAAAAAAAAAAAAAAAGAGAGAGAGAGAGAGAGAGAGAGAGAGAGAAACUUCUCCCUCCCUCUCCUUUCUUAUUUCAGUGCAGAGCCUUCCUGAACUUUUAAGUUAAUUUAUUGUGCGUCUAACUUUCCGCCCUUAGACCUGGGGCUAGCAUGUGAUAAUCAUGGCUUUAUGUCUUUCUUUCCAUGGAAAGAGGUUGUUCUGAUGCUCUUUGGGAAACCACAGUUAAGAAAGCUGACAUCUAGGAUAUUUGCAUCUGUGGUUAGUUAUUUUAAAAAUCUUUUUCUACAUCUAAGAGAUGAAAUUCAAGUCUUCCAGAAUCUUUAUUGGAAUUAGAAGCAGGGACCAAAGGAGCACUGGCACUCUGAUAAUUCCAACAGAAUUAGUAUGGAAGCCCCAAGAAGUGAAGUCACUCAUUGUUAAGCCCCUUCCUCUACCCUGCAUCCCUUUUUAGCCACAGACCUUGUGCUCUCCUUCGCUGUAUAGGGUAUGUGUACUCCUUGUCUCUCUACAACCCAUUGCUGGCAGGCCUCCACUCUGAACACAGUGCCCGAACUGCUCUAGCAAAGGCAAUCCUUGGCUUCAGAAGCCAAAUCUAAUAUGCAUGUUCUUUCUUCUUUCUCUCCUCCUCCUCCUCCUUCUUCUUCUUCUUGAAAAUUUAUUUAUUUGACAGAGAGCUCGUGUGAGAAAAAACCCAAGUUGGGGGAGGAACAGGGGAGAGAAUCCUCAAACAGACUCCCAGCUGAUUGGUAGCUGGAGGCGGGACUGGAUCCCAGGACCCAUGAGAGCAUCAUCUGAAACCAAGAGUCAGACACUCAACCAGCUGAGCCAUCCAGACUCCCCUAAUGUGUGUGUGAGUGUGUGUGUGUGUGUAAGAUUUUAUUUAUUUAUUUGACAGAGAGAGAGACACACAUGGCAGAGAGGAAACACAAGCAGGGGGAGUGGGAGAGGGAGAAGCAGGCUCCCGCUGAGCAGGGAAAGGAGGGCUUGAUCCCAGGACCACCUGAACUGAAGGCAGAACCUUAAGGCAGACCCCUAUUGACUGAGCCACCCAGGUGCUCGUAUUUUCCACUUUUCACGUCACUUGACCUCUGUAGCACCUGACAUCUUAACAAACUCAUUCAUUAUUUCUUUACUCAAAAAUUUAUUAUGAAAUAUUUUAGACCUGCCAAAGGCAUAGGAAAUAAUUUAACAAACAUAUCUGUUGUAUUAGUCAAGGUUCUCCAGAGAAACAAUACCAAUAGAAUAUUUAUGUAUUUAUUCAUUCAUUUAUUAUAAGGAACUGGCUCAGGCAGUUAUGGAGCUGACAAGUCCCAAGAUCUGCCGAGUGGGUUGCAAGCUGGCGACCAGGGGAGCCAAUGGCUUAGUUCCAAUCUAAGUUUCAGGCCCAGAGAGCCAGGUGAGCUGAUGAUAUACAAGUCCGGAGGCCAGUAGGUUGGAGACCCAGGAAGAAGCUCAUGUCCCAGUUCAAAGUCAGUCAGGCAGGAAGAAAGCUCUUUUAUUCCGGGGAGCAUCAACUGAUUGGAUGAGGCCCACCUACAUUAGGAGGGCAAUUGGAUUUAUACAGUCCAAAGACUGAAAUGUUAAUCUCAUCCAAAAGCACCCUCACAGAAACACUCAGAAUAAUUUGGGCCAAAUAUCUGGGCACCCUGUGGUCCAGUCAAAUUGACAUAAAAAAAGUAGCCAUCACAUCUAUAACACCAUAUAGUUUAAGAAAGAAAACAGUACGAAUAUAGUUUAAGCCCCUCCUCUCUCCUCCUGCAACAGAGGAAAUAUUAUUCUGAAUUUGCUGUUAAUCAUUUCUGUGCAUAUCUUUAUACUUCUACUAUACUGUACAUUGUAUAUGCAUUGCAUAUUUUAGCUAUAUGAAUGGAAUCAUACUGCAUAUAAAAUUCUUCUAGAACUUUUUUUUUGACUCACCGUUCUAUUUGUAGGGUUCAUCUAUGUUGAUUCAUGUAGCUUUAGUUUACUCAUUUCCACUGCUGUAUAACAUUUCAUUUACAACUAUAUUACACCUCAGCGAUUCUCUUGUUUCCAGUUUUUGCUACUAUAACAGUCUUACUACUAUGGAAAUUCUCCUAUACAUCCUAUUGUACACGUUUGAAUUUCUUCAGGAAUCUAUCCGCAUGGUUGAUGGUCUGGAUAUCUUCUUCUUUUUUUUUUUUUAAAUAUUUUAUUUAUUUAUUUGACAGAUCACAAGUAGGCCGAGAGGCAGGCAGAGAGUGAGAGGGGGAAGCAGGAUCCCUGCUGAGCAGAGAGCCCAAUGCGGGGCUCCAUCCCAGGACCCUGAGAUCAUCACCUGAGCAGAAGGCAGAGGCUUAACCCAUUGAGCCACCCCUGUGUCCCUGGUCUGGAUAUCUUUAACUUUACCACAUUUAUGACAACACUUGCAUCAUCAGAUCUUUUUUUUUGGACAACCAGAUAGAUGUAAAAUUGUAGAUCAUUGUGAUUUUAAUUUGCAUUUCACUAACCACUAACAAGGUUGAGCAUUUUUUCAUAUGAUUAUUGGUUUGAUUAGUAUUGCCUUCUAUUUAUUCUUAUCUCCUAAUCUUUCUUCAAUUGUAUUGUUAAUCUUUUUUUCCCUUGAUUUGUAAUAAUUCUUUAUAUAUUAUGGCUAACACUCCCUUUUCAGUUAUAUUCUUUUCAUUUAUCUUUUUCAAGUCUGUGGCUUUUCACUAUCACUGCCUUAUGGUAGCUCUCUUGAGAUAUAAUUUACUUAUUAUAAAAUUCACACAGUUUAAAUGUACAGCUCAAUGAAAUUUAGAGUUGCAUAACUAGCACCACAGUCCAGUUUUAGAACAUUCCCAGAACCCAAAAGCAAUUCCUCUAGCCCGUGUACAAUCAAUCCCUGUUCCUAUUUGUAGCCACAGACAACCACUAAUGUGCUAUAGCUUUCUGGACAUUUCACAUAAAUGGAAUCAUAUAUGAUCUUUCGCAUCUGUGUCUUUUCACUUAAAAUGUUUUUAAAGUUCAUUCAUGGGAUGCCUGGGUGGCUUGAGUUGGUUGAGUGUCUGACUUCGGCUCAGGUCUUGAUCCCAAGGUCCUGGGAUUGAGCCCCAUGUUGGGCUCUCUGCUCAGCGGGGAGUCUACUUCUCCCUCUCCCUCUGCUUCUCCCCCUGCUUGUGCUCUCUCUGUCUUGCUCUCCAAAAAACUUUUAAAAAAUGUUUUAAAACAUAAAGUUCAUUCAUAUUCAGUAUAUGUCAGUAGUUCAUUUCUUUUUCUUGUUGAAUAAUUGUUCAUCGUAUGAAUAUAGCAUACUGUGUUUACCGGUUAAUGGAGAUCUGGCUUAAAUUCUAUCUGAUAAAAAACAGCUCUCAUAAUUAUCAUUGCUCCCACUGUGUAAUGUAUCUUACCCCCCCUUUAUGGUUGUUUUUAAGAUUUUUCUCUUUCUCUAGUUUUCAGUAAUUUGAUGUGCCAAGUGUGUUUUCUUAGAAUUUAUCUUGCUUAUACCUUGUUAAACCUCUUGGACCUGUGAAUUGUUCUUCUUUUUUUUUUUUUAAAGAUUUUAUUUUUAUUUAUUUGACAGACAGAGAUCACAAGUAGGCAGAGAGGCAGGCAGAGAGAGGGGGAAACAGGCUCCCUGCUGAGCAGAGAGCCCGAUGUGGGGCUCGAUCCCAGGGCCCUGGGAUCAUGACCCGAGCCGAAGGCAGAGGCUUUAGCCCACUGAGCCACCCAAGCGCCCCUGAACUGUUAUUCUUUAU